UGGAAUGAGAAUGUGUCUCCCCACCC
rnacentral:piRNA from 1 species